rnacentral:rRNA from 1 species
GGCGACGAUCCCUAGCUGGUCUGAGAGGAUGACCAGCCACACUGGAACUGAGACACGGUCCAGACUCCUACGGGAGGCAGCAGUGGGGAAUAUUGCACAAUGGGCGCAAGCCUGAUGCAGCCAUGCCGCGUGUAUGAAGAAGGCCUUCGGGUUGUAAAGUACUUUCAGCGGGGAGGAAGGGAGUAAAGUUAAUACCUUUGCUCAUUGACGUUACCCGCAGAAGAAGCACCGGCUAACUCCGUGCCAGCAGCCGCGGUAAUACGGAGGGUGCAAGCGUUAAUCGGAAUUACUGGGCGUAAAGCGCACGCAGGCGGUUUGUUAAGUCAGAUGUGAAAUCCCCGGGCUCAACCUGGGAACUGCAUCUGAUACUGGCAAGCUUGAGUCUCGUAGAGGGGGGUAGAAUUCCAGGUGUAGCGGUGAAAUGCGUAGAGAUCUGGAGGAUACCGGUGCGAAGCGGCCCCUGGACGAAGACUGACGCUCAGGUGCGAAGCGUGGGGAGCAA